AUGCUUCCCAAGGCCCGAAUCCACGCGGACCCGGCGCUCGACUUCGAGCUCGAUCUCUUCGACUGCCUGCCGGACUCGCUCGUCCUGCUCAUCCUCAACAAAGUGGAGGACGUGCGUUCCCUCGGCCGCUGCUCCGCGGCGUCCAAGCGGUUCAACGGGCUCGUGCCCCACGUCCACGACGUCUGCGUCAAGAUCGACCGCGUCGUGGCGGUCGACGGCGACGGCGAGGACGCCCUCAACCUGAUCUCGCCCAAGCCCCGGAACAUCCUCUCCCACUUCCUCAAGCUGAUGCUCUUCACGAUCAUCAAGCCCUUCCACAGCGCGCGCGGCCCCAACGGCGCCGGGCGGCCGCUCUUCCCGCAGCUCGCGCACCACUCGCCGGCGCAGGUGCUCCGGAGCUUCACGCACGUGCGGAACCUCCACAUCGAGCUCCCUUCCGGGGAUGUCGGCACCGAGGACGGGGUGCUCCUGAAAUGGCGGGCAGAGUACGGGAGCACGCUUCAGAACUGUGUCAUCCUUGGGGGCACCAGGGUUGACCGCAAGCCUGUUGGCGCAGAGCAUGAGCCGUCUUCGGAGGACAACGGGAGCAUGCCGGAGUCUUUCUAUACCAAUGGCGGGCUCAAGCUCCGCGUCGUGUGGACGAUCAGCUCCCUCAUCGCUGCGUCGACGAGGCAUUAUCUUCUCCGGUCGAUCAUCAAGGAGCACCCCACACUUGUGAGCUUGGUGCUGACUGAUGCCGAUGGCCAGGGCACGCUGACCAUGGGAGCAGAGCAGCUGAAGGAGUUCAGAGAGAACCAACUGUCGGCCUCGGCAUGCUCCAACAGGACCCAGGUCCCGGCCUGCAACAUGAAGCUGAAAUACGCGCCAUAUCUCGAGCUGCCUGGAGGAAUUGCGCUGCAGGGUGCUACACUGGUUGCUAUCAAGCCCUCCACCGAGGGAAGCAAUGGCGGCCAUAUCAGCCGCAAGGAAACCGACGCAUUCAUCUCUGGAGCAUUUGAUGGGCCAUUCAAAUUCGCCCUGAAGGCGCUGAUGAAGAGGCGCACAUACCUUCUGGAGAUGAAUGGCUUCUAG
rnacentral:rRNA from 1 species